rnacentral:lncRNA from 1 species
GUUUUUCUGACUGAUAUUUAAGUCUGUGAGGAAAGGCUUUGCUGUGUUUCCUCUGCAGAGAAAGUGCCCAGCUUUCAGAAGAAUUGAACUAUAGUAAAUGGCAGAGAGUCUAGCACAAUUAAGUAUUUCUAAACCAGGACUGAAAAUGAAGAAAUGAUCACCAUAGAGGAAACAAAAUCAGAGAGGAUAGGAAACCUGUCCAAAGUCAUAUGGCUGAUAAGAGGCAGAGUGAAGACUGGACCUGAGCAAGUUUGGUGUAGAAGCCUGUGCUCUUAACUGCCAUCCUAGAUUCUUUCUUAAGACUUCUUCUGAGGAUCAGCCUCAUACAAAAGGGUAAUGGUGGCAGCAGCUCCAGAACUCAUAUCAUAUCCUCCCAUGUUAAAGUCAAAUGAGAAAAGUCUGUCUUCGCCCCAGGAUUCCCAGCGAUGCCUCCUGAUGUGUCAUUGGCUCGGAUUGCAUCAUGUGCCCUCCGUGGACUUUGUCCAGAUGAAUGUUUUAGAUUCCUUGUCCCCAGUUACCUCAUCUUUAAAAUGAAGACAAGACUCAGAGUUGGCUUUCCAGACCUAAGCUUCAUGUUCUGCCUGUGUGAUUCUGUCUUCACGAUUCUCAUGUUCAAUUACCAAUACUCAAUUCUGUCUUCUACUAAGUAUGUACAGCUCUAAAAGACACACCUCAGUAUGGGCAAUGUUCUCUUAAACUGUGAUAUCCAAAGCAACUUGUCUUUGCUAAAUGAGUACACUUAG